rnacentral:rRNA from 1 species
UACGAAGGGGGCUAGCGUUGCUCGGAAUCACUGGGCGUAAAGCGCACGUAGGCGGCUUUUUAAGUCAGGGGUGAAAUCCUGGAGCUCAACUCCAGAACUGCCUUUGAUACUGGCGAUCUUGAGUCCGGGAGAGGUGAGUGGAACUGCGAGUGUAGAGGUGAAAUUCGUAGAUAUUCGCAAGAACACCAGUGGCGAAGGCGGCUCACUGGCCCGGUACUGACGCUGAAGCGCGAAAGCGUGGGGAGCAAACAGG